GGAUUGGCAAGUGAUGAGAGAAUGCUGAUAUCCCUACAAGCCAGCUUGACUUCUAGAACCUUCCAAAGCCCGGGAUCCAAGUUCUGUUGUAAUCCAUCAAUGCAGGAAAGAAUUUUAUGGUUUGCUUAAGAAGAAGCAAACUUGAUGUGGAAACACACAUUUGGAGGGAUUUUGGAGAGAUGUGCUCGGGUCAGCCUAGAAAGUCAGACAUUGGAAAACGUGAAGUGCCCAUGGGUGGCAAGACCCAGUUUACUUCUCCACUUCUCUGGGAACAGAAAUUGUGCCAACUCAGUGUCAUUGUGGGAACUGCGUGUAAUCAUGAUUAUCGGAUGUCUGGCACGUUCCUGGCUGUAAGCAAACAUCCGUUUUAUGCCCAUCAGAAGGGUGUGCAUAGCAUAAUGGUGAGUUAUGAGUCCGAGUCUGAAUUCUGUCUCUGUCACCUGCUGCCUGUGCAAUUUGGGGGACGUUAUUUAACCUUUCCGUAC
rnacentral:lncRNA from 1 species